rnacentral:rRNA from 1 species
GACGAACGCUGGCGGCGUGCUUAACACAUGCAAGUCGAACGGAAAGGCCUGCUUUCCCUUGUGGAUUGCGGGUACUCGAGUGGCGAACGGGUGAGUAACACGUGAGUGAUCUGCCCCCAACUUGGGUAUAAGCCUGGGAAACUGGGUCUAAUUCCCGAUAGGACUGCAGGGUGGUGCCUGUGGUGGAAAACGAUUUUCUAGUGGUUGGGGAUGAGCUCGCGGCCUAUCUGGUUGUUGGUGGGGUAAUGGCCUACCAAGGCGGCGACGGGUAGCCGGCCUGGGAGGGUGGACGGCCGCAUUGGGACUGGGACACGGCCCAGACGGCUACGGGAGGCAGGGGUGGGGCAGAAUGGGGAGUAGGCGGGAGGCUGAUGCGGCGACGGCGCGAUGAAGAUGACCGGCUCGGGGUUGUAAGCUCCUUGCGACCGAGAGGAAGCCACCUGGUUGGGAGGGUGGUGACGGUAGUGGUAGAAGAAGCACCGGCUAACUACGUG